UUCACAUUCAUCUACUUUAUUUUAUCAAUUAAUUUCGAUUUCAAUGGCGUAAUAUUUAUCUAAAUUUCUAGUCAAAUAAUAAUUAUCCCUGAAACUCCUUGUCCAAGAGGGAGAAAGAAAUUGCAAGCUUGUCCAACGAGAUCUAGUCUCUGCCAUCAAGCAUAACAGCUUUUAUGGAUUUAGAAGAGCCGAUUAUUAAUGCUAUUACUGAAAUAUCACAAUGGCUUGAAAGAAAUAUUUCCUCAGAAGCAAAAAAAUUAUUGGAUUCAAUACUUAUUCCAAAUUUUUUUUCUCAGUAGAAUGUAUUAUUUAAUUAUACAACUAUUUUAUAUGAUACUUUUCAAAAACAUGACAUUGACUUGAUUAAGAAGAUGUGAAUAGCGCAGAGCAUUUUAUUAGAACUCAAGGAAAUUAGAGCUAAUGUUGAUUCAUAUUUUAAAUGGUAUUGUUGAGUCAAAAGCAGAGCUAUACGUGUUUAAUAUUUGUCCCCCUCGACUUGCAGCAAGCAAGCUCAUCGUCAAGACAUUAAUAUAGGAUCAAUAGAAGAGUAUUAUAAAACAAAUAUCCCCUCUCUUAGAUACAUUUAUAACCCAAAUAAAUGAAUGGUUUUUAAUUCAUCAUGCAGCACUUACCAAUCUGCAGAUAUUAUUUCCUCAAAAGCCUUCCCAACCUUUUUCCAAGGUGAUAGAAAAAAAAAAUAUUUGUUUAAUUUUUAUCAUGAAGAUGUUAAAGUAUCUUAUGAUGCCUUAUUAGCUGAAUAACUAAGGUUGACACAGUCCCAAAAAAUGCUAUGGAUACUUUGCAUUAUUUCAAACACAUUUUAGGUUAUAUUCCAAAUGUAUUAAAAUGGUUAUAUAUAUUAGUACUCUUCCCAUUAGUAAACUAAUGAGAAAACAAUCUCUUUUUUAAGAAGAAUAACAGAGCUCGGCAGAUGUACCAUUUGCAGGGCACUGCCCGGAUUUUUUAAAAUAAAUUAUAUUUAUUUUUGAUUUUUAUAGCUAAUAAUGGCGAUUUUAAAUAUUUGGUUUUGAAAUAUAUAGCCUGGCCCGGAUAUUUUUUUUAAAAAAAUUUCGGGCCUGGCCCGGGUAUAUUUAAAAAAAUUAAAAUAUGGUUCGGCCUGGGGGCUGGGCCUGCAAGUCUCUGAAAAACAUACCUAUGAAGUACAACUUCUGAAAGUAGAUUGAAUGGUUUGGAUCUUUUGAAUAUUCAUAGGCAUUUAACGCCAAGCAAGGAUGAGAUAAUUGAAAAAUUAGCACAAAACAUACAAAAUACAAUUAUUCCUAAGAAACAUUUUGUGUGUUAAUUUAUAUUUCCAACAUUUAAAUUUUUUAUACUUUAUAUAUAAAUUUUAAAAGCUAAAAAUAUUCAAAUAUCAAUUUUGGGUCAUUUAAGUGUAUGGUGCUUAUAUUUUAUAUUUUAUAAUUCACAUUUAUUUUAUAGUUUUUUAAUGCAUAUACAUAAUUUUUUUAUUUCGUACACGCCUGAGGUGCACAUUAAUGUUUCGAAAUCAGAAGCAAUGGCUUUGUUAGUAAAAUAUAUUAAAAAAGGUAAAACGAAUGGGCUUAAUAUUAAAUUAAUAUAAUAUGCAAACUUAUCCAUGAAUCUACCCUUAGGGAAAAAUAUGAUGGUGCUUCAAACAUAAGUGAAAAACUCAAUGGAGUGCAGGCUUUGAUUAGAGCUGAUGCUCAAGGGUGGCUUUUAUUCGGUAUUAUGUAAUUAUUAAAUUUAAUCAUUGUUCAAUUAUGCCAAUCGAUAAAAGAACUAAGAAAUGUUUUAGGGAUCCUAGACGAAAUCAUUCCCGUGUGUGUUUUACAAUGGUGCUAAGAGAUAUGCACUGCUCAAAUCUUAAAGUGAUGUACUGACAAAAUCACAACGAUGUUUUUCAUAAAAAAUAC